GAGAUACAGAAGUUUGUAUAUGUCCCUCCGCUAAUUGUUGUUUGACCAGGUCAUGGGCUACUUGUAUCUUUUCUUUAGUCAGGGGCCACUGAGGAAUCCAUACUGGUCUUUCUGAUUUCCAAGUAAUUUUGAUUGCCUCAAUGACCCCUUCUGAAAACCCAAUCCAUGUCUAUUUAUUCCUUUAUCUAUUUGAAUUGGUGCUGCUAUACCUUGUUCUUGUUCUCCUAAUCUUUUUUCUUUCCUAAAACCUUGUCUAGCCCUAGUAGUGGGCACAUUAGGAUUGAUGUUAUUUGUUAAUGUCAAACCUAAUUGAUCUAGGACAUCUCAUCCCCAUAAAUUUAUAGGAAGAUGAUCCAAUACAUAUGGCUGUAUAGUUCCUUCACAUCCUUCAGGAUCCUUCCAAUCUAAAACCAUCACACUUCUAUGGGGAUUAGUUGCCACUCCUAGGCCUCAAAGCGUUUGAGUGGCUUGUUGUAAUGGCCAAUGUUUUGGCCAUUCUUGAUGAAAUAUGAUGCUAAGGUCAGCACCUGUGUCCAGUAGCCCAUUAAAUUCAUGUCCUUGAAUAUUUAGUUUUAGCAUUGGGCAAGAAUCAAAAUUUAAAGACAGCAUAGCCCAAUCUACACCUGUGGAGCCUAUUCCCUUGGAACCUCUUUCUACAGUACGACUGGAAAAUUUACCAUGCAGGCUGGGUAUUAUUAAUAACUGUGCUAUUCUAUCUCCUGGUGAAAUUACUGACAUACCUCUUGGAGAACUGGCUAUAAUUUUUAUUUCACCUUCAUAAUCAGGAUCAAUUACCCCAGGACUUAUCAUAAGUCCUUUUAGUGUAGAAGAACUGCAUCCUAAUAAUAAGCCUACUGUACCUUGGGGAAGAGGUCCUUUUACUCCUGUGGAAUGACUUGAACUCCCAUCUCUGGACUUAGUACUGCUCUGGCAGAGGUGCAGAUGUCCAACCCUGAAUUCCCUCUGGUUUGUUUGAUGAGGGAUUUAAUGGACAAUGUGUCAUGGGCACUACCCUGAUGAGGUUGCUGGGUUCCUCCAUUGCCCCAUAUAUUUGUGGUUGUGAGCCCCGGACCAUUGGGCCCCCCAGUCCGUUUUUUGGCAAUGGAGCCCGAUGCUUUUCUCCAUGAUAUCGUGGGUAAACACCUGGUCCUUGUUCAUUUUUUUGAUAAUGGAGUACCCUCUAUGGUGGUUUGAGAAUGGCAUUCAUUAGCCCAAUGUCUCCCUCUAUGGCAUUGUGGGCAAACACCCGGUAUUCUACUCCUUUGAUACCUAGCUUUGUUAAACCCUCCUCCUAUGGGGCAACUCCUUUUAAAAUGUCCUAUUUGUUCACAAUUGUAGCAUGUUUUUGGCCUGGCAUCUAAAGCCUGUUGUACUGUAGCUGCCAGGACUUGUCCUUGUUCAUUAAUGUCUCUACAUAAUUUGAUAUAUGUGUUUAAAUCUCCAUGUUUUCAUGGUCUGACGGCCUCCUUACACCAUCUGUUUGCUUGCUCAAAGGCUAGCUGUUUAAUUAAUGGCAUUGUUUUCUCUGUAUCCCCAAAAACUCUGGUAGCUGUUUGAAUAAGCCUAUCUACAAAUUCAGCGUAAGGUUCAUUAGCUUCUUGUAUUACCUUAGAUAAUUGACCUUGUAAAUCUCCAUGUCCUUGUAAAGUCUUCCAUGCCCUAACUGCAUCUGCAGCAAUCUGUGAAUAUAUAGCAGGAUCAUAUGCAGUUUGUUGCAGCUGACCCUCAUAAGGUCCCUUUCCUAACAACAUAUCUAGAUUUCUCUGAGGAUAACCAGCUGCUGCAUUUCGCCUAGCCGUCUCCAUGCAAAAUUCCUCAUUGGCAACCUUCCAUAACAAGUAUUGUCCUCCAUUUAGCACAGCUUUACACACACUAGUCCAUUCUGCUGAAGUCAUGUUUAAGUUGGUAAUGGAUUCGACCAAGCUUACAGUGAAGGGUGCUUGAGGACCAUAGGUUGUUACAGCCUCUUUUAGCUGCUUCACUGUUUUGAAAUAUAAAACAUGGUGAAUUCGCUGCCCUCCUGCCGCCUCAAAUACAGGGCAUGCUACUCUUUGAGGUCCUGUCUCAGGAUCCCAUCUAUCAACUACGGGGGUUGAGGGUCCCAUAGGUGGAGCUGUUGGUUGGACACAUACACCCUCUGGUGAUAGAAAGGUGUUAGUAGCAGCCUCCUGUUGUAACUUUUUCCCUGAUGGCUUUUUCUGCUCUAAACUUUCUUCCCCUUUCUGACUAUCUCGAGAGGCCUCCUCUUUCUCCUGUUCUAAUAUGUCUUCUACCAUAAUCUGAACUGAAAGAUUUGGACUAGGCAAACAAAAUCGUAUCAUCAUCCACUAUGGCAAUGUGCCAACUGGCAGAGUUCCUGGGUUUUUCUUUUCCCUGUCCCUUAAAUCUUCACCACGAUGGUCCCAUUGUGAUAUGUUCAACAACUCCUCCUUAAAAAGCCAUGGGCUACUUUUUUGUAUUGUAUCAACGUAUGCCCUGACUCUUUUUGGUUUUACUGGGGUGCCUCCUUCCUCUAACAAUUUACUUAACAUUCUUUCGGUUUGUUUUUUGCUAAUUUCUGACCCCAUAUUUCUGCUACAAGGAUAAUGCAACUCAAACAGAUAAAACAAAACCGAAGCAAAAUGAAACAAAAAUCAUUGUAUCAAUUUUCUCUUCCUCAGGGUCGAACAACUUCAAACCUUGAGCCAACCAUUUUUCCCAGUUUGCCUGAGAAAGUUCUAGGGACAGGAAGCUUGAAACAAAAACAAAAUAAAUCAAAACAAGAACAUAUUGUUUUUUGAAAUGGUCACCCAUUCUCUCGCUCUCCCUCAGGGGUGAGCAAUUUCACUUUCAUUUGGGCCACCAAAUGCCGCAGUCUGGCUGGGCACAAAAUCAGGAGCCACUCAAGCAGGAACAAACUUUAUUUCCAAAACUCCCGGAACGCCAGGCACGCGGCCUUCUCCCGGGACACACCACACCAACCGGAAAUCCCUCCUCCAGAAAUCCCUCCUACCGCACUUCCCCAACCAAUGGGAACUCUCCGGGGAUCCCUGUGAGAGCUCCAAAGUAGCAGGCUGAGGUGGACAGCAGGGGUCUAAUAUCCAAUUGAAUACACAUGUUAACAUAACCAUUAUCAUCUCAAUGGCUUGCUGGUGUCACCUUUCAACCAAAAAUGCCAUACAUCAUUCCUACUGGGCUAUGGCUCUCAGCACUCAGAGACUGAAGGAAGAGGGGGGAUUCCGGCCUUGGAGAAAGGCAGCUUGAGAGGGCCUGUGGGUGUCUCUGUAUAAAAGGGGGAGAAACCGCUUUAAGUGGGAGUUAUGAACCCAAUAUGGGAGGCCCUCAAGGUGGGCCGUCAAGGGAGUGGUAAGAAUGACUGAUAAGGUCCAGUCCACUUUGCAGAGAGUUAAGGGGAGGUGCCUGUUGGGGGGUUAAAGGUACCAGGGCGCCAGAGACCGAGUGGGAAAGGAAGAGGCAGAACUAGGCUUGGCCAGAACAGCAUCACUGUGUUGCCAAAGAAGGUUCCUAAUGUGUGCAAGAAGGGGCCAGAAAAGAUGAGGAGCAAGGGGCAGUGGAGAAUCAGAGGGGCUGAGCUGAGCAUGGAGGUGGUUCCAUAUAGGAGCUCAGAGGGGAGAUGUGGAGUGGCUUCCUUGGGAAGGCUUGAGACCUAAGAAGAGCCCAAGGAAGGAUUUAGUCCAAUCUAAAUGUAAUCAAGGGAUAGUUUAGUGAGAAUGUUCUUCAAGGUCCAGUUGGUACGUCCACCUUGCCAGAGGACUGGGGAUGCCAGGGGACAUGAAAAUGCCAGGAGAUGUUGAGUGCCUUAGCUACUGACAUGAAACAUGGGGAGUAAAUUCAGGACCAUUGAGACUGGAGCGAGGAGGGGAGGCCGAAUCGGGAAGAAUGUGUUCAACCGGGAUGUGGCCACCAUAGGGGCACACUUAUUGGUGGUAGGAAAAGCCUUGACCCAUCCCGGAAAGUGUUGAAAGUACCAAGACAAAGUUGUGCCUCUUGACCGAGGGCACAUGGGUGAAGUCCAGCUGCCAAUCAGAGCCAGGGAGAUGUCCUCUUGCCUGGUGUAAAGGAAGGCAGGGGGUGGAGAUUGGAGGUAGAAUUGGGUUUCUGGCAGAUUUUACAGGAGGCAGAGGGUAGAGAGGAAUUGUAGGUCCUCUGGAGAGAGUUUGAGGUGGGAUGUGAGAAGUUGUUUUAAAGGUGUGGUGUUGGGGUGAGGGGGUGAAGGAAGGUGAGCCUCUGUUGAGCAUCAGCUGGGGGAGAGUCCGUCAGGGACUAGCAAGGCCCAGGACUGCAGGUGGACUAGGCUGUCGCAGCACCGCGGCCCUCGCAUUGGAGUCUGCCUUGUUGUUGCCGAGUGUCACACAGGAGGUGUCUGUCUGGUGGGACUUGAAAUGUGAUUUUCCAGGGGCUGGGGAUGUGGCUCAAGCGGUAGCGCCCUCACCUGGCAUGCGUGCGGCCCGGGUUCGAUCCUCAGCACCACAUACAAACAAAGAUGUUGUGUCCGCCGAAAACUAAAAAAUAAAUAUUAAAAAAUUCUCUCUCUCUCUCUCUCUCUCUCUCUCUCUCUCUCUCUCUCUCCCCCCACUCUUUCUUUAAAAUAAAAAAUAAAAAAAAGAAAACUAAAAAAUCAAUAAUAAUAAAAAACCUCUCUCUCUCUCUCUCUCUCUCUCUCUCUCUCUCUCUCUCCCCCUCUCUCUCUUUAAAAAAAAUUUAAAAAAAGAAUUAAAAAAAAAAAGAAAUGUGAUUUUCCAGUGGAAGAGGGAAGCUUUGAGCCCUGAAGAAGACAGAGGUAAAGGGGCAUUAGUAACAGAAGUCCCCUUGGUGGUCAGGAAUCCGCGAUCCUUCCACGUAGCAGAGUGGAGAGAAGUAGGUGGAAAGUAGAGUCAGUGUAGACGUUGGGGGAGGCCCCCUUUGCCACAGUGAAGGCUCUGAUGAGGGCACCAUGUCAGCCUGCUGAGUGGAUGUGUUACUGGGGAGGGGAGCGGCUUCCACAGCCGAGGGUAGAGAGACGGUAGCAGACCCUGCCUGACGACGCCCUCCUGAAGGAAGCAGAGGCCAUCUGUGGACCCUGUGCAUGUGGCCUGGAGCAGGGCCUCCUGUAUGUGGGAGGGGUGUGGAAGGAGCUGCCCCAGAGUCUCAGUGCAUGAGUGGGUGAGAGGAGGAGGGGGGAAGAGUCCUGAGGAGCGGGAGGAGGGUAGCAGGGUUUAAAGGUGAGCAGGUGUGGACACUGAGACUGGAUCUCCCACCAGGGAAACCUGUAGAGAUCAAAGGUGACAGGGGUAAGGAGUGUAAGCCCUGGUAGGUGAGGAGAUCCUUUAGGUGACGGGGAGCCAGGAUGGUGAGUGGGGCCCCAAGGUGGGUUUCUUUAUGAGUAGAGAGGCUGCGGCCAACAUCUGUAGGCAAAGGGUCCAUCCCUCAUCAGUAGGGUCAAGACCCUUGGAUAGAUAGGCCUCAGGAGCAAAGGUUGGCCCCAGCAUGUGUCCGAGGACCCCUAGAGCAAAUCCCUGCUUUUCAGGCACCUGAAGGUGAGGUGGGCGUGUGAGCUCAGGGAGAUGUAGAGAGGGGCUGGAGGAGGCCUGCUGGAGCCUGGUGAGGGGCUCUGUAACGGAGGCAAUAGGGGUUCAGAGAGGGGGUCCUGGGCCAUCAUAUAGAGGUUAGCCAAUAUGGAGUAGUUAGGAAUCCAGGCUCUGAGGAAUCCCGCCACACCCAGAAAGGAGAGAAUGUCUUCCUCAGUAGAGGGGUUGGUAUGUUAGUGAUGAGGGCCUUUCUGUCAACCGACAUGGCUGUGUGUAGGGUCAGGAGGAGGCCUAGGUCAAGGAGAGCUGUACCUGGGAUGGAGAAGCCCUAUAGCCACGGGCAGAAAGGAAGUGGAGAAGUUCACAGGUGUCCUGAUGGCUGACCUCAAGGGGGGACUGCAAAGGUCAUCAACAUGCUGUGGCACCACAGGCUGAGUGAGAUGUGUGGAUGCUAGGUCCUUAGCCAAGGCCUGUCUGAAGGUAUGAGGGCUGUCUCGGAACCCUUGGGGGAAACUGUCCCCAUCAGCUGACUCAGGGUCUGUCCAUGGGAAGGCGAAAGUGUCCUGAGAGUGAGAAUGGAGGGGAUAGAGAAGAAGGCAUCUGUCAGGUCUAGCACUGAGCUCUAAGAGGUCCCGGAAGGAGUGGAGGAGAGAAGGGUACAAGGAUCCGUUACCACGGGAUGGAUUGGGACCACGCAGAGUUCACGGAAAGGAGCUCUUGGACCAAGUGGUAGGAACCAUUAGGCCUUUCACUGCCAAGAUGGGGGUGUCAUAAGGGGAAUGAGGAGGUCUGAGGAAGCCCUUUUGCACGAGGUCUUGAAUGAUAGGUGUAAGCCCAGGAGUUUUUGUCAGGGGAGCGGGUGUUGUGAUUGGGCCAGAACAUGGAGGGGGCCUUUGAGACAGAUGUGAAUGGGCUUGUGGCAUGAGGCGAUAGAAGGACUUGAAACAUCCCGGACAGUACGGUCCACCUCAGAAGUGGGUAAUGGGAGGCCCUGGCAGAUGAAACAGGGGAAGGUCCUAAGGUCAGGGUGAGGAUCAGGGGAGCGGCUGCGAGUUUGGAUGGAAGCGUAUAUGAGGGGAGAAGGAAAGCGUAGCCCCCAACUGUGUGAGGAUGGCCCUUUCCAUAAGGGGAAGAGGACACUGUGGAAUGACCAUAAAGGAGUGGGUAAAAACUAGAGAGCCCAAGGCACAAACACGGCCGGGUGUCUGUAGGGUUGGCCAGGUUUACCCUCUACCCUGGCAGUCGAGGUCACAGAAGGAGUGGUAGGCCCUCACAACCCCUUGAGGACUGAAUGUGUAGCCAGGUGUCUAGGAGGAAGGACACAGGCCCACCUGAAAUAUGCAGUUACCCUGGGCUCCCGCAGAGUGAUGCUAGUGGUCAGGUGAUGGGGAGCUGGGCCUCGUCUGUCCUCUGCAGCCAGUCCUAAGAGUUGGAAAGGGGAACCAGAAGAGCUGGCUGACUGGGGCCUGCUAUGGGCUCGGGGACAGUCAACAGCCCAGUGUCCCUUCUGAUGGCAUUUAGGACAAGGGCCUGGAGGCUUGUAAGGCUUAGGACAUGGACGAGCCCAGUGACCCAUAUGACCACAUAUAAAACAGGGUCUGGUGGGUGCAGAGAAGACAUUCGGCAGAAUGGAGGCCCUGGUCCCAGGAUGGAAUCCAGAUUGGGGCUCGGGGAUGUUCAGUGACUGUGAGGAUGGCCUUAGGCCUGAGCCUAAGCAACUCCAUUUUAAAAAACCUGCAGAGACCCUCCCGUGGGCCAGUGCAACCAGGGACAGAUGCUAAGUCUGGACAGACGGCUUGAGCGACCAUCUGAUAUUUCUCCUUCUGUGCCUUCUCGUCUCCCCUGUUCUCCACCUUAAAGGCCCCUUGCAGAACCUCAGCUUGGGGAGUUAGGGGCCCCCAUCAAGGUGCCUUAGUUUGGCCUUAAUAUUGGGGAAACUCUGGGAGGAAAAGUAGGUCUCCCAUCUGGAGCCUCAGGUCCAGGUUAGUAUAUUGCAAUAAACCCUGGUCAGGGGUCUAAAAAUGCUGAAGGUUUCAUUCUUAUCUUGGAAGAUUUCCUGGAGCCUUUCAUAAUUGCUGGCCUUGUGGGCUGCCUUUCUCAGUCCUUCCAUGAGGCAAGUAUGAAUUGGUUUCUACGAGUCACUCCUCUAGGCAAAUUACAAUCCCAACUGGGGUCCCGAUCAGGGACUGCCUUAGUGCCCAUCAGAUGGCAGGGGAGGUCUGAUGUACCUCAUCAGCAUAAUUUCUAGCUUGCUCUCAAACUCGCCUGCGGUCCUCAGGCAGGAGGGUGUUAGACAAGAUCAUAUGGACAUCGUGGAAGGUCAAAUACCUGACUUAUCAAUAUCAAAUACCUGACUUAUAUGAUUGAGUCAGGUAUUGAAACUCUUUGGUCUAUGUGUUGGGACUUGAAGUGUAGGACCCAAGCUGCUUUUCCAUCUGUGAAAGAUCUGACAAAGAGAAAGGCACAUGAACCCGAUUACACCAUCCACCCAGCCGCCUCGCGUAGAGGACACAGAGAUGCAGGUUGAGCAGUGGUAAUCCGUGAGUGUGUGGCAGGAGGACAGAGAGCGGAGGGGCGUGGGGACAGUUGCUGCAGAGGCUUCAAUAGAAACAGAAUUGUGGCAUGGUGGGGGCUCAUCUGCUGGGUGGAAGGAGAAGGAGUCCUGGGUAGGGUCUUCUGUUCCUUUGGAAGCAGGCGCAGAGGAGGUGAGAGCUAAGAGGACUUGUGCGGGAGAGCAGGAGUUGCAGAGAGAGGGCUUAGAACGUAGGGAGGAGAAGGCCUGAACAUAUGAAAUCUCUUUCCAAACACUCACGAUAGUUGAAAAGAUUCCUGAUGAUAUUGGGAUCUAGAGUGCCAUUAAGCGGCCAUUUAGAGUCAUCAUCCAAAGGAUAUUGAGGCCAGAUCUGAUUGCACAAGUGGAUGAGUUUCUGGGGGUUUAGGUCCGGGGUGAGAGAGAGAGACCCUAGGUUAGCCAGGAGGCAGCCCAGGGGGCUAUGGGAGGGCAUGGACGAGGAGCUGCCCAUGGUGAGACAGAGGAGGUGAGUUUAGAGGUGGGGCGUCCCCCAGUCUCUAAUAUUAUCUAGUUGAGAGGAUGGUUAAGCUCAGGGGUUUGUCACCACUGCUGAGUAAGCAUUGGUGAAGUAGCCCAUAGGGGCACUCGGGCACCUGGCUGGGACUGCGUAUUAGGGGCAGAAGCCCGUAGAGAUGAACCCACAGCUAAGAGGUUGUCUCCCCAGGAACAAUUCCCAAUUGUCCUCUGUGUUUUUUUUCUCAAAAUCCAGGAUCUAAAUGAAAAACCACCUAUAGACCUGGUCAACAGUAGGGAUCAGCCGUCGCUGUGAGAACUGUGGUUGGGGGUGCCCCACCCACACAGGAACCCUAGGAGUGCAGGACGAUCAGCGGUCACUUACUAGGACCCAUAGGUCGUUUAUGUCUACCAGAGACAGGGGUCUUCCUUGUAAUAUCUGGUGGUGGGUGAAGAGAGGGUGCUCUGCAGAAUGGAGGGCCUGGUCCCAGGAUGGAAUCCAGAUCAGGGCCCAGGGAUGCUCAGUGACCCUCAAAGAGGGAAGUGGGCACACCAGGGAACCUGAUCUUGGGUUUUGGUACCAAAGAGAAGGGAAAGUGAGAAGUGAAGGCGGAGACCAGGCAUCGACAGACACAGAGUUUACUUGUCAGAGCACACAGACAAAGGCCACCUCUCUGUGGGAGACAGGGGCAAAGCAGCUUGAGUUCUGGGACUUUAUGGGGAGGCUCAGGAGUCAGAGGGGGGUCCUAAUGCGG
rnacentral:lncRNA from 1 species